AUUGAACGCUGGCGGCAGGCCUAACACAUGCAAGUCGAGCGGAGCGGCGGACGGGUGAGUAAUGCCUAGGACUCUGCCUGGUAGUGGGGGAUAACGUCCGGAAACGGGCGCUAAUACCGCAUACUAUCAGAUGAGCCUAGUUCGGAUUGGCUCAGUGGUGGGGUAAAGGCCUACCAAGGCGACGAUCCGUAACUGGUCUGAGAGGAUGAUCAGUCAAACUGGAACUGAGACACGGUCCAGACUACUACGUGAGGCAGCAGUGGGGAAUAUGGGACAAUGGGCGAAAGCCUGAUCCAGCCAUGCCGCGUGUGUGAAGAAGGUCUUCGGAUUGGAAAGCACGUUAAGUUGGGAGGCGUUACCAACAGAAUAAGCACCGGCUAACUUCGUGCCAGCCGCCGCGGUAAUUC
rnacentral:rRNA from 1 species